AGAGAUACCAAAAGAACUUAGUAGCGGUCCAUUCGAAUCCAAUCAUAGAAUACACUAUAAUGCCAUACACAGAAGCUUGAACAAAAAUAUAAGGUAUCUCUACUAAGACCUGCAAUGGCAAAAUAUGGAGUUAAUUAUAAUGCGCAUACAACUUUCUUAACAAUUUCAACUACUCUUCAAAAUGUGAAAAUUAUUUACCUGUGCAAUGGCAUAUGGCAUGGCAGAAUACAUUCCAGCAGCUCUUUCUCUAUAAAAGACUGUUCUUUCGACUGACACAACAGGCUGCACAGAUGAAGAGUUCUGGAUACCGAUGAAAAGAACAGCAGCAUACAUUGAACCCAUUGCAUUGGACAGAUCUUGUAUUUUUUUCCUAUAAUUUUACAAUGCAGAGACAAUUAGAUAAUGAAGCUGACUGAUGAAAACCAAUAUUGAAGCUUGAGCUUUUGUAAUUGAAUUAUUGCUUACGUUUUUGACCCGAGGUCCCAGAACAGCGUCCCAAACAUCAAUGCUAUGACGGUUGUAAAGAGAAAUCUUACGGCAGUAUACGGUGGGUUGCGCCAAUAUGACCAGUGUUGCUUCCAUAAACAAGCUGUGCAAUGCGUCAAGAAUGAUUGAGAAUACUGUGUUGGGAAAUAAAGUUCCUUGGCACCGGGAGCAGGUUUGCUUAAAUCUUCAAUAAGAGCUUUGUUUCUCCUGAACAAAUGACAUGAUGCAUCAGUAGCAAAUUCAAGGUAGCCAAGUUUAAAUAAUCCAAUAUAUGUCUUAUAUAUGCUAAACUAAAGUAAUUAGUUGAAUUUGAUUAUUUAUUUAUUUUGGGGCAAUGUUGUGCCUAGCUAGCUUGUUACCUGUAUAGGUCUGAGUUUUUGUAGAUAUCAGCAAAAUCAACACCUAAAGAUAACUCUUGCGCUGAUGCGGUAACUUCCAACAUCCAAGUUGCGGGAUUGUAUCCAUCUUUGAUUUUGCUAACACCUUGAAUUCCCUGCAGAAGAUGGACAUCAUAAUGUUAGACGCAGUUUUCAUGCGAACUGAGAAAUGCAUUAAGUUGAUGAACUUUGAAAAUUGUUGUCUUUCAUUACUUCUUACCUCAAAGUAUCUGAUAAGAUAUUUAGAAUGGUGUCCUAGUGGCCCCACAUAGAUCUCCUGUCCUCCACGUUUCAUAAGGAAUAGCUACAUUGCAGUUUUAUAUUAGUUAGGCCAUACAUAAAUGAAAAAAGGACAGUAUAAAACAUAGAUAUUAUCUAUUUUUAAUAGUUUUAUGCAUAUAAGGAUUUUCAUUCUCAAUUUUAAAAUUUCAAUUUGGAAUUGAUUUUUUUAGAAUAAAAAUGUUGAUGUGACAUAACACUAUUAAAAAUAGAUUGAGAUGAUGUGAUAUCAUUAUUUCAUAUAAUCCUUCCAAAAAAAACAACCAACAAAAAAUGAAGCCACUCCUUUUGAAAUUUAACUUUUUAUGUUCUUCACCUCGUCAAACGCUUCAAAUAUGUCAAUACUUGGUUGAUGGAUGGUACACACAACUGUUCUUCCAGUGUCCACUGUAUUCCUAACUGUUCUCAUAACAAUUGCAGCAGCCCUUGCAUCAAGCCCUGAAGUUGGCUCAUCCAUGAAAAUGAUAGAAGGGUUUGCCACAAGCUCAACUGCAAUCGUAAGCCUCUUUCGCUGCUCUGUUGAUAAACCGUUUACACCGGGUAAACCAACUAGGGCAUGCCUUAACGAAUCCAGUUCCACAAGCUCCAUGACUUCUUCUAUGAACAUCUGAAAAACAUAUGUUGAGAUAAAACCAUCAACAUAAUCCACUAGGAAAAUAUGUGGUUUUUAUUGGACUCUUUUGUUCUGGGUUUCAUCCUAGAUAAAGUGACUUAAAAACUCUAGCAUGUAACAAAGUAAAAUAAGAGACUUGAAACAGCUUAGGGUUUCAUAAGUCAUAACCUUUCUGGUUUCAGCAUCAAUGUCAUUGGAUAAUCGUAGCCAAGCGGAAUAAAGCAAAGAUUCAUACACGGUGACAUGAGGAGAAUGAAUGUCAUUUUGUUCACAGUAUCCAGAUACUCGAGCAAAAGUUUCUUGCUUCUUGGGGAAACCUGAAACUGUAAUGUUCCCCUCGAUAUAACCACCAGUUUUUCUGCCAGCAAGCACAUCCAUUAGAGUGGUUUUACCAGCACCACUAACACCCAUUAGAGCUGUGAGAACACCAGGUCUGAAUGCACCACUAAUACCCUUCAAUAGCACCAAUCUAUCAUCUUUAGUGAUACCUUGUUCUUUCAUUUCCUACAAAAUUUCAAUUCAAUCAACGAACUCUCACAUAUCUGAACAAUUGAACGUAUGUGGCUUUUGUACAUGGAACCUUAUGUUACCUGUGGCAUAUCAACAGAAUAGUAAAUGUCUUCAAAAGUGAGAGAAUGCGGCUCAAAUGGAAGAACCAUUCCCUUUUUCUUUUUGCCAUUGGUCCUAAGAGUUGCGUCAGACAAAGAAAAGGACUUGGAUGAGGAGGCGCUUCUUUGAAUGUCAUCUUGGAUCUCUGCAUGUCAAUUAAAUUAAUGUUGCACAUACAAUGGCUUGUACACAAACAUACCAAUCCAAAUAUAUAUGAGCCUUCCGUACCAGAUCUAUUUACAUGACUUGAGCUUUUUUCACGGUCUGUUAACUGAAUGCUUCCAACAACACCAUUGGCUUGAUCAUUGCUUUCGGGUUUUUCAGAUAUUACAGCUCGAUUCUUCUCAAAGGCUACAUAUUUAUUUGAAGAAAAAGAAUAAAAUAUUAGCUCUCCCUACCAAAGAGGCAUAAAUUUUAGUAGGUAAGCUAUACUCACGCUUUAGAAAGGUAAGAGCCAGAGUAAAGAAAACGUUGAGCAAUACUACAAAUAUAGCCAACGCCCCUACUCCGAGCCAAUACCAAUACGAUUCAUGGAAGAAACUUCUAGACUUUAAAACUUGAAGUCCUAUCGAUUCGUUUGAGCCCGGAGGAACCUUCAAUAUGAAAGCAAGCAUAAAAACAUCAGCAUAUUUUUAAGAGACAACACAAAUUAUAGACAUUUCAACUUCCAAAAGCAUUACUCGACUCCACUGGUGCCCAAGGAACUCAUUAACCAUCAGCGCAUUUUGCCCAUACAUCAAAGGCGAAAUCCAGUAACCCCAUAUCCACCAACCCCUUAUUUUGUCUGCAGCAUUGAACAUAAAAAGUAUUUAAAAACUGUUUAAAGCUUAACUUUCAUUAAAAGAAUUUUUUUUUUGGACACAUUAUUAUACCUCGUGCCAGGACAAAGCCACUUAAUGCAAAAAGUACAAGUAGAGCGAAUGUCCCAAAAGUGUUGGCUACAAUCAUGUUUCUAGCGGCUGAUGCAAUGAACCGAAAUAAUGAGGAAGCCAUCUGGUUAAUGAGAACAAGGAGGAGGUACUGUCUAAAGAACCUGUGCCAAAAAAAUCACUUCCACGUCAAUUUGAAUCAGAGCUAAUAGGAAGAAACUUUGUAUUUUACUAUUAAAGUUCAUAAGAUAUUUGUGCUGUCAUUUAUUUUUUCUACCUUUCAACAUUCGGAUCAUAUCCGAUAACGUAGUAAGUAAUGAAUACCCACACAGAAACUUCUAUAAAUGUCAUAGGUAUCUUCAGAAUCCAUGACGGUAAAGCAUAGGCCCACGGAGGAAAGAAUAGGAGGUCUCUUUGCUUGUAAAAGACAGGGAGCUUAGUAAUGGUCAUAGAAAGCUCAGGCAUUCCAUUGAACAUGAUGAAAAUCAUACCAAAAAACAAGGCCCCCAUAUAGAUCCUUCCUCCUUGAACUGAAUCUCGAUCCAUCUCAGUCCUCAAAAAGAGUGUCAUGGUAAUACAGGACACUAUUGUGAGCUAGUAGCACAAAGAAAAAAUAAAUGAAGUAAAAAAGGAGUUAAUCAAUAUCCUUAAAGCUCGAUAAUUUGUAGAACACACUACAGAGUUUAAAAAUUUUAGUACGCACUUGUAUACACUUGAAGAUGUACACAAAAGAGUUUCUCCUCAUCAACAGAAAUUCCCUUGCAAUGCAAGCUUUUAGCAACUCCCACUUCCCAACACCAUAUUUUUUGGUUGUCAAAGCAGCUGGGUGGCUCUUUUUUUUAUCAAAUGGAGUUCCAAGUUCCUCCCCAAGUUUCAUUCCCACAUGGAAAGUUUGGAAUGCCUCAGCAAAUUCAUUAGCCGUGAUAAACCUGUAAGGUUGAUCUUUACGUGCCCAAUACUGCAUUUGAUCUUUCCUUGAUGUAACCUACAAUUAACAAUGUUAAAUGUGACAGAAGAGCAACUUUCUCUGUCUGAACAGGGGAUUAAAACUUUUUCAAGACUUACCUCUUGCAAGAAAUCAGCCACACCUUUUCUCUCAGGGCACUUAAAGCCCAUAGAUUCGAAAAAGCUCACCACGUGUUCACGAGGACCCUGAUAUACUAUCACGCUAUCAGAAAGGAGAAUAAUGUCAUCAAAAAGAUCGUAAGUCUCUGGAGCUGGCUGUAGAAGGGAGAUGAGUGCAGUUCCAUUAAGAAUAUGAACAGUUUGCCUAAGGGAGUUCACAAUUUGGAAUGUUGUAGAGCUGUCCAGACCAGUAGAUAUCUCAUCCAUAAACAGUGCUCUGGCUGGUCCUACCAGCAUUUCACCUAAUUGCAUUGACAAUGACAUAAUUAGAUUUUGAUGAUAAGAAAAUAUCUACUCUGAUAAUGGAAUAAAUGGUGUAAUUGACUUCGUGAACGACCUGUUGUGACACGCUUCCUUUGUCCUCCAGAUAUGCCCCUCAACAUUUCAUUUCCUACCAAAGUGUCUGCACAUAUAUCCAGGCCUAAAAUCUGCCAAAUUUAUUUCAAAGAUUUUCAAUAAGUGAAGAACUUAUUUGUUAGUGCUUCUUGAAUAGCUUUCAGUAUAAUUCAGUUUCUGUAACAUUACCUUCAUAAUAUAAUCAGUGAUUACAUUUGCUUCCUGCCCUUCUGUUGCUAUUGCCUGAAAUGUUAAAGAUGACAAAAGUAAAUCAUGAUGAAUACAGGAUUCUUUAUAAUAAAGAUUCCUGUCAGAUAAAUUUAAUCUUUCCAAUUAUAUUAUAUUUUUGGUUUUCAAUCAAUUAUAUUUGGGAGAAUAUUAUCUUUGAACAUAAGCAACUAAUAAUUUUGCAGGACACCUUUCAAUAUGUAAACAAGAUAGUCUGUUUGGGAGAAAGGUAUAUAAGAUGUUCAUGUUAAGCAUUACAAUGGCCUCAUGGUUCUUACCUUCAUGAAGACAUCAAUAUCAGGAUCAGGUUUAAUGUUUGCUUGUUUCUCUCUUCUUGACAACUCUGACAACAUAUCUGUAAAUAAAUAAAUAAAUAAAUUAUUUGAAGAUUUACAUAAUAAUAAAUAAUAAAACAAGUGAUAACAUUUCCAUCAAAAUGUCGAAAGAGAAACUCAGAAGGGGUAGAAACCAAUCAAACUAACCAUAUCGGGUUCCAACCCCUUGGCAUCUUGCAGAAAAGGCCAAAGUUUCUCUCACGGUCAUUUCUCCUAGGUGAAGAUCGAAUUGACUGAUAUAGGCAGCAGUUCUCUGAGGCACGAACUCCUUCAUUGUAUGCCCAUUGUAUGUCACAGACCCCGAAAACUGCAACAGAAUUUUCACUUUCAAAUUAGACACUAAAGCAAAGGCAGAAGACAAUGCAAAAAACAAGAAGCAUAGAAAGGAAGAUGUGAAUUUUGUAGAGUACUUGGAGAGCAGGAUCAAGCUUCCCGGCCAGAGCCAACAAGAGAGUGGUUUUUCCGGAACUUGGAGGACCCAAAAGCAAUGUCAUCCUACAAUAUGUACAUGAAAAGAUUAAUCGUUGAUUAAUUCCAGGAUGGCCCAACUUUUUAUUUUAGAAGAAAAAAUUCAUGUGUUUGAUGAGAAAAAAGAUGACCAAGUUUACCUGCCAGGUUUAAUCAUACCACUGACAUCUUUGAGGAUGGUCAGCUUUUUCAUUCUACUAGAAAGAAUACCCAUAUUUAUCAACAAGCCCUUUAAUCACAAAACAAAGUAAAAGGUUAAUAAGAAUCCUAAACAAAAAGGUGUAAAAUGAUGAAUUAGUUAUGAUUCUCCAGGUUGGUACCUCAAAUAUGCUAGUAAUGAAAUUAAGGAAUGAAGGCAAAGCAUUGGUUCCUACAAAAGCUUCAGCUUCAAUAUUUAUAUUUUCAAAUCUGACUUCGAUUGUGGGAAGCUCGAUGCCAACCCUGAAAAUUAGAAGAAAAAGAAAUCGAAUGUAAAUGAUUACGGAUGCGCGAGAACAGGAUCUCAUUUAGACAAACUCUGUCUUCAUUUGUGUCAUUCAAGUCUUUCCCUCGAAUCGUUAAAAAAAACAAAACCUUCUUUCCAUUUUUUUUUCUAGUAAAAAGAAAAUAACAGAAAAACUUCAUACCUAUCUAUACGGUUCUUGAACUUCCACAAGAACCUUUCAUUAUCUUCGUCAGCAACUUUAACCAACCUCUCUAGUAUAGUCCUCCUUUCUUGCCAUCCAAGGUUAACAAUAUCAAUUUCAUUGGCACCACCUUGAGAGCUAGUCAAUAUACCUUUCCUGAGACGAGCAACAGUUGGUAGUCUCUCAAUAGCAGCCCACUUCAAAGCUUCUUCAUCAUCCUCUUCUCGAGAAGACCUUGAAAACACGUCCACCGCACUGUUUCUCCAUACGGAAGAGCUUCCUGAUCUCAAACUUCCUGCUCGUAAACUUCCCCGUAAACUGUUACUCGCUUUAAGAAUAUCUCCGGUCUCCAUUACCACCAAAUCCUAACUCCGACCAAUACGAUUUCCAAACUUUCACGUUCCCCCCAGCCCAAGUCAAUGAUUCAAAACAAAAUAAUAAUAAAAAAUGGAGUAUUAGAAGUUCGGUAUCCUUUUGUUAUCAAACUCUUUGUCUUUGAACAUUGACAAGAAAAUGUGAGGAGUUUUGAAACUAAAAUAACAAAAACCAUCAAACCAGUAUGAGGGUUGAGGAAUAAGCUGAUCCUGUAGCAAGAAAACUGGAGGUUUGUGAUAUUUAUAAGGUUAUAUUAUUAGUUAGAACUUAGAAAUCUUACGGCGGGUUUUUUUUUUUUUAAUUAUUUUUGUUCUUUGUAAAUAUAUUUCAAGGUUCAGAAUUUUCAAGGUGGUUUCGUAGGGAUUAUUAUUAUUUUGUCAAAAUUCAAACUUCAUCUCAUCUGUUUUCAUUUUUAAAGGCUCACGUUUGAUUUUAAUAAUCUUUUUCUCUUGAUUUGGUUUAUGAAUGAAAACACUUUGAAUAGAAAUAAAAAUAAAAAUAAAACUAAGAGGAAGAUAAUAAGAAAUAAUAUUAUUAUUAUAAUGUUUAGAUGACAUACUUGCUGAGCUAGCAUCAAAAGGAAUGAAAAUCCGCUGCCCAUUAUUUUGCCUCUUUUUGUGCCACCUAUAAUAAUUAAAGAAAUAUGUCAUCAUAAUCACAAAGUUAGGUUUAAUGAUAAAAGGUUUUUUUUUUCUUUUCUUUUUCAUGUUAAUGAGUAGUUGGGGUUUUAUCUUCAUCUUAAGUAUAUAGUAAUUUUAAAAUUUGUGGUCAUCGUCUAUUCUAAAUAAAUCUAUAAAAUGAGGAUGAUUAGUUAUUAAGUGUACGUUUUAAUCACAUCUUCUUUAUAUUGCGGGUAAACUACACUUAGGGUUACUAAACUAUUAAUAAGUAUACAUUUUAGUCAUUUAACUUCAAAAAGUUACAACUUUGUUACUGAACUAUUUGAAAAUUUUUAUUUAUUUUACUAAUUGUUAAAAUCGUUAUUGUAUGACCAUCUCUGUUUGUACCACCUGUAUCAACCUUAAGUUUUCCUUCCAUUUCUCUACUCCAAGCUCAUUCUAAUGGGUACCUUGAGAAAUGAUUAAAAAAAAACAUAUCUUCUUUAUAUUUGGGAUAAACUACACCUAAUGUCACUAAACUAUUAAUAAGUUUAUGUUUUAGUCACUCAACUUCAAAAAGUUACAAAACAAUCAUUGAAUUUUUAGAAAGUUUUUAUUUAAGUCACUAGGUUGUUAAAAUAACGGAUGCAUGGUCUUCUCUAUUUGUACCACCUGCAUCAAUUAAAAGUAUUUUUUCCCUCUUCUCUUUUGUAGUUCAAUUUUUUUUAUAGAACAACUUUUAAUGUCAUGAAUUUAUGAAUUAUUAAAAUUCAAAUAACUUUUUUGUUCGAUCUCCAACAUUAACCGUCAAAUCAACUUGAAACUAAAAUAUGCUCUUCUACUUGUCGAUAGAUGCUGGUCCACUGCAUUGAUCUUCAAAUCAUCACUUAGAGUUUACUAGUGAGACUUUUUUUUAAAAAUAAUUUAACAAUUCAAUGACUUAAAUAAAAAUUUUCAAAUAAUUUAGUGACUUAAAUAAAAAUUUUGAAAUAAUUGAAUGAUAAUUUCAUAACUUUUUGAAAUUGAAUUGCUGAAAUAUAAACUUAAAAAUAAAUUAAAGCAUGAGGCUUAGUUUAUAUUUAUGUUUUUAUUAACGAUUUAUUUUAACGGCAUACCACAGCUACGUACCUUUAAAAAAAUUUACCGUCGAAGCAAAAAUUACGCUUUCCUCUUUUCAGCACCUUCUACAACCAAAACUUUUUUUUGACAAAGUUGGAUGGGCAUGCCUUCACCGUGAUGAUGUGGCCAAGAAAAUCGUUUGAGCCGCUAGACUCUUGGCUUUUUCCAAGUUGUUAAUACCUCUUCAAUUUCAAACAAAAUUCUUUUCUCUAACACUGAAAAGAUAAUUUAUUUUCAAGUUUUACUAAUUUGAUUGAUUGCUUAUCUCCUAGGCUAUUGAUUUUUUUUUAUCACAAGAACCCUUUGGUAUCUCUCUUUUUAUUUAGUUUAUUUAUUUAUAAAAUUAAAAUUAAUUUACCACCAUAAUUCAAGAGCAACUCAAAUCCUUUGGUAUUUUUUUAUUGCUUUUAUUUUUCUGUAAUAUUGGUAUACACCAUAGUGGUGGAUUACAAAGAAAAAGAAGCAUUUACGAGGAAAAAGAUGAAUACUGAAAUUUUUUUAAGAAAGAGAAUAUGCUUUUAAAAUUUUAAGUUCAAAAAACAUCACUUAACUAAUAAUGUAUUUUUUUACUCCCAAAUUUUCAAUUUUCAAUUUUAAUUUCUAAUGUUAUUGAUAUUUCCAUUAAAUCAUUAAUAGCGGUUUUUUUUAUUGACAUAAUAAUAAAUUUAGUUUUUUUUUAUGUUUAUAAAUUUUAUCAGUUUAAUUAUAAUUCUAAAAAAUUUAACAAUUUUGUCAUCAACCUUACACCUUCUAUUAAUUUAGUUUUAAUUUUUUAAAAUUAAAAUAAAAAAUAAAAUAUUUAAAAGUUUAUUAUUUUAUAAAAAUAUAAUCAACCCUCUUUAUAAUAACCUCAUUUGUUUACUCAAAAUUUGCCUAUUAUAGAGAGGUGACUAUUAUCCUUAAACCCUAACACCUAUAACAACAUUUUGUUAUAGAGAGAUAAUCGUUCUAAGCUUAUCAUAGAAUUUAUAUCAUGAAUUUUCAUCAAAUAGAAAAAAUGAAAAUUAUGUUCCAAAAAAAAAAGUUGAAAUGUAACCAACAAAAAUUAAAAGAAGUAUAACAUGUGCAUGUAUUACUAUUUUUAUGCAUAUUUUAUUUACAAUUUUUCACAUGAUUAAUUAUAAAGUUGAUAAAUUUAACAAGUUCAAUUAAUCAACAUAAGUUAUCAAAUUAAAUUAAUUAAUUUAUCAUGAAUUGCUAAAUUCAAGUAUUCAAUUUAUAAGUUUAUGAUGUUCUAAAUUCAUGGUUUUAGGGUUUUAAUGUUUUAAGGCAUAUGAUUUAGGGUUUAAGGUAUAGGGUUUUAGGGUUUAUGAUAUAGGGCUUAUGGUUUUAGGGUUUAAGGUAAAAUAUUUCAAGGUUUAUGGUUUAAGGUUUUAUGAUCUAAAAGUUUAGUGUUUAGGGUUUUAGUAUUUUAGUGUUUAGGUUUUAGAGUUGUUUAGGAUUUAGGGUCUAUUAAUUCAUAUCGUGAAUUUUUAUCAAAUAGAAAAAAUGAAAAUUAUGUUCCAAAAUUAUAAGGUUGAUAAAUCUAACAAGUUCAAUUAAUCAACAAAUGUUAUCAAAUUAAAUUAAUUAAUUUAUCAUGAAUUGCUAAAAUCAAGUAUUCAAUUAAGAAGUUUAUGAUGUUCUAAAUUAAUGGUAGAGAACAUAAUAGUUUCUUAAAUUGAUAUCUUUAAUUCCACUAAUUGAGGAUUAUUUCUAUUUAAUAAAAUAUGAUUAAUAGAUUUCUCACAUGAAAUUUAAUCAUUUUAUUAAAAUAAUAUUUUAAUUAAGAUCAUUUUCAUUUGAUAAAUGAUAAUUAAUAGACUUGCUUAUAAGAAAUAACUAUAUUUUUACACAAAAAUUUAAACCAUAUGUUGUUAUACAGAACUAAUUUAAUAAAGAAUGUACUUCAUAACUAUAGAUAUUGUUGUUAUAAGUGAAAAGCAGUUAUAGAGGGUUAUUAAAACAAUACUUUUGUAUAUAUUUUUAAAAACCCACAAAUAAGACUUAAACUAAAUUUUAAAAAAUUAUUUUUUUUGUUAGUUUUAUAAAUAAAUAAAAAGAUAAAUUUAUUAUAUGUUUAGCCUUACUCCUUAAUCCUCGUCAAAUUUAAGCAUCGUUUUCAUCGAUAAACACUAAUACCAAUAACCCUUAAUCUGAACUCCUUAAUUUUCACAUCCUCCAUUAUCGCUCUCUCAAACAAAGGCUCCUUUUGGAUAUCAUUUCCCCCAUGGUAAGAUGGAAUUAAUAGAAUAUAUGCCUUUUAAAUGGUGAAGCAACUUCCUUUUCGCACCUGCGGUGAAGUGCGGUGAGGCAAUUGAAUUGCACCACAACCCUCAAUUUUGGCUGAUGCUUUAUGCUUCAAUGGGAGUAAAUCUACAGAUGUGGAGAAUUGUUUUACAAAAGCAAUAUUAUUUGAGUUAUUUUUUAAUUAGAAUAAAUAUAUAAUAAAAUUUUAUUAUUGUCCUUAAUAGUUAUUUCUAUUCUCACCUCACCGCUACAGUUACAUUUGAAUCCAAACACACACACCAUUACUAUUUCUAAUCUCACUACUACAGUAUUCAAUCACAUCACUACAAUAACUAAUCUCACCGCCACAACUAUUUUUAACCUUAUCGAAGGUAAACACACUGCCCAUCCAAACUAAGUCUAAGAUUGAUUGUGGAGUUGUUGGUGUAACAGCCCCUUUUUCAGUGGUGUCGGAAACUGUAACGCCCUUACCCGAGACCGUUGCCGGAGUCGAGCACAAGGCACUACUAAACUUAUUUGAGCACUUAACCAAAUUUAGAUCAUUUAUAUCAUACUUUUCAGACGAGCUGUCCAACUGCAUCAUAGUUGCUAAAUAAUUCAUAUCUCGAGUUAUAAAACUCGAAAACCAAAUCCGUAAAUUUUCCCCGAAUUUAUACUCAUAUAUCUACUUACCAAUUUUUUUUUUAUAAUUUUUUCUUGGUCCAAUUAGUACAGUUUAUUAGUUAAAUCCUCCCCUAUUUCAGGGUUUGGCUACUUUGACCCCUGUGCACUACGAACCAAAUUUCUCUCUGUAAAAAAUUCAAAUAACCAUUCCGUUUGUUUCUCUUAAAAAUAUACCAAAUGAGGAAUCCAUACAUAUACAGUAUGACUCAUAAUUAUUUUUGUGCAAUUUUUAAUGAUUUUCUAAAAUCAGAACAGGGGAACUCGAAGUCAUUCAGACUCUGUCUCACCACAAUUUAAAUAUCUCAUAACAUAAAAUCCAAUUGCAUGCACCGUUUCCUCUAUAUGAAACUAGACUCAUUAGGCUUUAAUCUCAUUUUUUUUCCAGCCCUUAACUCAAUUUCCACAAUUUAUGGUGAAUUUUCAAAGUCAAGCUACUGCUACUUACCAAAAACUGUUUUAGUACAAAUAUUGUUAACUAGUUCAUAACAUCUUUACUUCAAUUCAUUCAAACUCUAUACAUGCCAUAUAAAUCUUUAAACAUAAAACAAAAACUACCAGAAUUGAUCUGAAUAGUGUGCCCUGUUGUGUUGAUCCGAUCUACCCACUUCACUUCAAGUCAAUCUACAUAAAAAUAUUAAACACACACAAGUAAGCUUAUUGAAGCUUAGUAAGCUCAUAGGCAUAUAAACACAAAUCAUAUCAAAUAUCGUACACAAUCUUAUAUCUAUUAGUUUAACUAUUUCAUCCUCCAAAUCACAAUUUCAUUAAUAACUCAUUGGAAUAAUUUCCAUAUGGCUACUCACAAUUUAACUCCCUUAGGCCCAUUUCUCAUUUACUUCAUUGUCAAUUUAAGGAACAAUAAGGGAAUUGAGUGCUUCAUUAUCACAUUGCCAUAGUAAACUAUGGACUUUCACAUUGUUACGCAUCACACACCGAAGCCAUAGCCUUGCCAUGGGCUUACACGGUUCACAUAUCAUACCGAAGUCAUAUCUUAGACAUGGUCUUAUACGGAAUCACAUUAUCACAUUAUACCGAUGCCAUAGCCCAGCUAUGGUCUUAUACGGAGUCACAUUAUCACAUUGCACCAAUGCCAUAGCCCAGCUAUGGUCUUAAACGGGCACACUUAUCACAUAUUUUUCGUCAAUUCAUCAGGGUCACAGAAUAGAAGCACUCAAAUCCAUUGUUCCUACUAAUUUGUACUUUUAGUUACACAUUAUUCAUUAGUUAAUGCAAAUUGAUAGUAUUCAUCAACAAUAAAAUACUUUAACAAUCAUAAGAUUUUCAUAUCAAAACAUUGAACUUUGCCAUAUGAACUUACCUGGACUAAUUUGCAAAAGUUGUAGAAAUUCAAGGACUAUUCUUGAAUUUUCUCCUUUCCACGAUUCAGUUCGUUUUCUUGAUCUAUAAUUAUAAAAUCAUUCCUUCAUUAGCAUCCAUUUCAAUUCUAUUUCACUUCACAAUUUAUGCUGUUCAAAUUUUGAAAUUGCACUUUUACCCCAAAAUUUACAGUUUUCACAAUUUAGUCCCUGCUCAAUUCACCCAUCAAUUGAACUAUUUUUUCUCAAUUAGCACUUUAUUUUAUCAUUAUAAACUAUUUAAAAACCUUUUAUAUUCUUAAUUUCAACAGAAACCUUCAAUUCACAAUUUUUUCACAAUUAGGUCCUAAAUAUCAUUUCCUAUCAAAAUCACUUAAUAAAACCACCUUAAUAUGAAAUUAGAACUUAAAUUUCAUAAUAAUUCAUCAUAAAAUUCCCUUAUCCAUCCCGGGUAACUUCCAAUUUCACCCAUAAAAUCAAAAACUAAUGAAUUCUACAAGUGGACCUAAUUGUAAAAGUAAUAAAAACAUAAAAAUUAUCAAGAAAAGUAAGAAUUAAACUCACAUGAUGUAAAAAUAUGAAAAACUAGCUUUCUCCAGACCUUCUAUGGCGUUUUGGCUGAGAAAAUAUGAAGAAAUGUCUAGAUUUUUCAAUUACAUCAUUAUUUAACUAUUAACUUUUAUGCUAUUUCCAAUUUUGCCCCUUGUUCACAUUGUUUUCUUGCUUAUUUCAUACCCAAACCGUCCAGCCAUUAACCUUUGGGUCUAAUUGCUCUUUAAAUCCAUCUUUUUAAAUACUUAAGCUAUUUACUCACAAUUUAACAAAUUUUGCGCUAUUUUCAAUUUAGUCCUUUUUAAUUAAUUAGCCAUCCAAACGUUAAAAUUUUCUAACGAAACUUUAAUACUAACUCAAUGACACUCCAUAAAUAUUUAUAAAAAUAUUUAUAGCUCGAUUUUCAACUUUGAGGUCUCGAUACCUCAUUUUUGACCCGUUUGACCUAAUAAAUUCUUUUAAUUCACUAAUUUCACCAUUUCACAAAUUCUUCUAAAUUCUUACCUGACUCAUAAAUAUUAAAUUACUAUCUUGUUCAAUCUUAUUUUUCGAAUUUAGUGAUCUCAAAUCACCAUUUCCGACACCACUGAAAAUUAGGCCGUUACAACUCUCCAAUGGUUUCGGGGCCAUUAAAUCCGUUGAGUAAAUUUAUAAAUAUUAUUAUUUAAUAUUUACGAGUCAAAUGUGAUUUUUUAAAAAAGUUUUUGAUUUGAUAAUUUAUGUUAUAUAAGUAAUUUAUUAAGUUCAAGUAGUUUUAGAAGAUGAGGUAUCGAGACUUUAUUUUUAUAAAUCGAGCCGUAAAUAUUUUUAUAAAUAUUUACGAAGUGUCGUUAAGGUGGUAUUAAAGCUUCGUUAAGAAAUUUUAACGUUUCGAUGGUUAAUUAAUAAAAAAAGUGCAUUCCUGGGACUCCGUUCACGUAAACCGGACUAGUAAAUAUUUUUAAUUAGGUUUCAAUUAAGUGAAUUUGCUUGAAUUAAAAGUAAUUAGGUAUAAAGACUAAAUUACAGUGAAAGUUGAAUUAUAGAUGAAAGAAAAUUUUAAAGGACUAAAUAAGCAAUUAUACCAUUGGUAUUAAAUGACGCGGCACAACGAUGAAGAUAUUUAUAAAAUUUAAAGUUAUAUUAUAUUUUAUUAUAUUAUAUUAUAUUAUAAUGAUAAAAUAAAGAAUAAAUAAAAAGAAAGAAAGAUAGAAACGAAACAGAAAGAAAAAGAAAGAAAGAAAGAAAAGAAAAAUGAAAGAAAGGAAGGAGAAAGCCACAACCUUAGGGGCUUCAAAAGUUUUAAGUUCAACCAGUUUGUCAAUUUAGUCUAUUUUUCUUGUAAUUUUUAUGUUUUUGCAAUCCCAGUGUUAAAUACUAAUCCGACCCAUGUCAAAAUUUUAGAAAUUAUUGAGUUUUUAAGUGUUGUUAAUGUUGAAUAAUUUUAGUAUUAGGGACUAAAUUGAUAGAUUUUCAAGUUAGAAAUGAAAAAGGAUUGAAUUGUAGAAUAAAUUGUAAAUUUUGAGUAAUAGGGAUUAAAUUAUGAAAAUUUUGAAAUUUAGGGAUUUAAAUGAAAUUAGAGAGUUAAAUCUAGUUUAAAGUGGAGAUUGAAUAAAAAUAUAGAAUUGAUUGUGAAGAAAUAAAAUUAGUCUCGGUUUAGGGACUAAAUUGGAAUUUACACAAAUGUUGAGUAAAAAGUUGAAAUAUUCAAUAUGAAAUUUAAAUUGUAUUGUAUUUAUAAAUUUUAAUUGUUUUAAUUCCGUAGCUAACGUCGUACCGGAACCCUCGACUAAAAAGGGGAAAGAUAAAGUCGAUAGGAAUAACUCGAAAUUUCUGGUUUGUAUUUCUAUAAUCCGAACUUAGUUAUUAAUUGUUGUAUUUUGAUUUAAUGUUAAUGAUAAGUGUUGAGGUGAGUAAUUGAUGUUUUGAUAAUUGAUUGAAUGAUUUGAAUUGGUAGAUAAAUAUAUGUAUUGAAUGGAUUGAGUUUUCAAUUUGACAUGAUUGUAUUAGUAAUUAUGUGAUUAUAUGAAAAACUGACAUUGGAUAUUGAUUGUUAUUGAAUUGUGAAAUUUAAACCCUAUUAAUUGUAUCGGGCCGAAUCGGAUAUAGAUGGCAUGCCAUAGGAUUGGAAGAGUUCAGGGAUUUCUUUGACUUCGAGUCGAUAAGACACUGGGUGUCAAUUUACUACUUCGGAUUAAUUCGAUGAGGCAUUGGGUGCCAAUUUACUUCAGUUUAGCUGAUGAGACACUGGGUAUCCGUUCGAGUCCGAGUCGUGUUAAUAGGGGUAAUUAAGUGAAAUGACACUAUGAUCGAUGUUGGAUGAUAUUAUAUGUGAAAUGAAAAUGAGACUGUGAAUUGAAAUAUGGAUUGAGACACAUGAAUUGUGUAUUCAUGAAUUGGACAUGGUACGAACAUUAUUGUUGUUUAAGUGAAAUGUGUAUUAUAUUGUGAGAAGCUAUUUUAUAGCAAAUAAUAAGAAUUGAGUAUGGUAUAAAAUGAUAUAUUUAUGAUUUGAGUAUUGAAUGGUUAAUGUUAUUGUAUAAAUAAAUGUGAAUUUUAAAUAUUCAAUUGUGCCUAUUAUAUUAUUUUGUCUUUGAAUAUUCGGAUUAUAGAAAUACCACUAAGUUUUACUCAGCAUACGGUUUUGUUUCCCGUGCUCAGGUUAGGUACUUAAUUUUGAUCACCGAUUCAGCAUCCAACAACGAUCCCGAACUCAAAUGUGGUGAUGUUUAUCCUUUGUGUCGGCAUGUACCUAAGGUGUCUAAAUAAUAGUUAUUUUGUGGAUUGAUUGUAAAUGAGAUUAUAAGUUUAAUUUUCGUUGGUUUUAUACAUAUAAAUAUGUGUUUGAUUGUUGAGGUUAUAUUAUGGCAUGGUAAAUUGAACGAAAUCUAGAUAGGUGCAUGUGAAUUUAAUUCUAUGUUUAAGUGCUCAUGAACUAGGCAAAUUGAUUUUGAUUUGGUAUGUUUAUAAUUUGGAUUAAAAUGAUGCUUUGAUGAUUUGUUUUGAUGAUAUGAAAUGUUUGAAAUUUUUGUCUGUUUGAUCUGUAAAAUCCGAUAAUGCUCCGUAACCCGGUUCCGGCGAGGGAUACAAAUUGGGGGGUGUUACAGUUGGCAUGACUUUCCACCUAUCGAGUCUCCAAAACCUCAUCAUUGCCUAUAUAUCCUCAAUCAAAUGGGCCUUCAAACACAAUAAACUUGUUUAGGGUAACAACCUAAAAACAUCAAUUUUCACUCUUUUCAACCUCAAGUUAUAGUUUUUUACUCAACAUGAACAUAGUAAUUGUUAAUGUUGAAAAAAGAAAAAAGUUAUUUACAUAAGUUUUUUCAUAGUUUUUCCCUUUAAAUUAUUUUAUUUAUAAGGUUGUUGUUUUAUUUAUAGAAUUAUUAUUUUAAUAAAUAAACUUCAUGUUAGAAAGUGAGAAAGAUAGAUAUUCAUUUGUUUAUGAAUAUUUUUAUAAUUAUAUAUGUAUUUUUAUAAAAUCUUAUAUAUUUUUAUUGAAAAAUGAAAUUUUAUUUUUUAAAAUAAAUUUUAAUUUUUAAGAAUCAAGACUAAUUUGACGGAAUGUGUAAAGUUGAAGGCUAAAUUUGUUAUUUUUUUUAAAUUUAGGAUUAAAUUGAUAAAAUUUAUAAAUUUUAGAGGAUUAAAUUUGUUAUUAUACCAAUAAAAAAACGACUGUUAAUGACUUAGUGAAGGAGUGAUCAGAAUAUCAAAUUUUGAGAAUUUUAAUUUGACUUGAAUGUGAAUUAAUUAUUGUAUAAAGAAAAAGAAAAGAAAAGAAACGUGUCAAAAUAUUCUAGGUGGAGUGGGGCACAAAAAGGAGUACAAUAAUGGGUAGAAGAUUUUUGUUCAUCAAGAGGUUGCAAUUUGAAGGUAAAUUUGAACUCGUAAAGGAGCUGGACUUACACUAUGGAUGAAAAUACAGGCAUGGCAUGGCAGAUGGGAGCAACUGAGCAAGGACAAUCGUUCUUGAAUUGGAUAGCAAUCCAAUUGUUGCAGGGUAGGUAAGUUGAGUAAUGCAGUUGCUUGUGAUGUUAGAAGAACGAUGAAUCUGCCAUGGGAAGUCAAACUAAAGCAUAUCUAUAGGGAGGGCAACAAAAUAGCAGAUGCUUUGGCUAAUUAUGCGUUCACAUGGCCACUGGGUUUUUAUUGUUUUUUACAACCACCAGAUGAGAUUUUACGCUGUGCAGGACGGCAUGUUUAGUGUUGGUCAACCAGAUUAGCGACGAUGCUCUUUUUCUACCGAUAUAUAUAGUAGAAAAAGUCCAACACAAAAAUGGGUGGAAUCUAAGUUACGGCAGCAAUUGAGAACGCUAAAACUUAAAAAAUACAUUUUUCAUAAUAUUUUUUUAUCACACUUUUCAAAAAUACUCUCUUAAUGAGGGGAUCAAGGCCAAACUGUAGGGUUUAUAGAAAAUUUAAAUUUUGACCUAUUGAUGAGUCUUUUUAAUCCACUAAUUAUAGUACUUAUCCAAAUAUAUAAACAUGUGUGAUUACAAAUAAUUAAAUCUAAUUUAGUUAUAAAGUGAUUUUUCAAGUGCACCCUAACUAGAAUAUCCUUUCAAAAAAUUUAAAUUAACAAUAUGAAAUCCAAAGUAAAAAUAGAAGAUAUGAAUCCUUGCCAUGUAAUUUUUAAUAAAGAAUAUUUCUAAAGUUGGAAUCCGAAUCUCUAUAUAGAGGUGUACUAAUAUCCUUAGAUAUGAAAGGUUAUAAAUCUAAUUUCUUAUUUAUUACAAAACUCAUGUGUUUGACUGAACCAAUUUCAUAUUAUAUACAAAGCCUCUCCAAUUGGUUUAUAAAUUCAUUUUAUUUGGCCCAUCGUAGAUUUCAUAAACUAGUUUUUUUAUUUUAUUUUUAGGUUAUAAUUAAUUAAUUAUUUUAAAUAAUCUGAUUAAAAUCAAUCAUUACAAGCAUUAAAUUGAAUAAUUAAGCUUAACUCAAACUAACUAAAAUAAGUAAUUUACACUUCUUUUUUUUACAGAGAUAAACUUGAAUUUGAAAGCUUAAAGCAUCAUAGCCCUAACUUUAUCGACACAACUAAAACAUCGUUAAUUAUUGUUUUCUCUCUCUUAUUUUGAAUAUAUAUAUAAAUGGAUAUAUUAUAAAUGGAGAUAGGAUAGUUGUUAGAAAUUAAACAUAAACCCUUAUGUCACAAUACAAUACUUUUAUCAUUAAAUUAAGAAGUUGUUGAAAAUAAUUUAGAAUAUUAUAUUUUUAAAUACAUGUAUUAUAUAUGAAGAGGAGAGAAUAUCAUGUAUGACGCUCUUUAAAUAUGAUUUAGUUUUGGAUGAUUGUUAUUAUAUUUAUAUGAAACAAACAAAAUUUUUAAAAAUGACUUUAGCAAUAAAUUAUUUUGAUCUUUUGGAUUUCGAAUUAGUUAAAGAAAGCCAUGAAAUAAAAAUCCAUUUCCCUUCCCUUCAUUGUCAUUGUUUAGGUUAACUCUGCUAUUAGAUUGGAUAAGUUGUAGAUUUGAUUUAUAUACUUUAAUUUAAUUAUUUUCAGUCCUUGUAUUUUUUUAAAACUUGUUAUUUAACCAAUUAGAUUUAACUAUUAUUUUUUUGGAUUAGUAUUAUAAUUUUAAAAUUUUAAAAAUAUAUAUAAAAAUUAAAAUUGAGGAUAUUAAAAACCUCCAUAAAUCUCCAGCUUAAUAUGAAAGUAAGAACGAAAUCUCAUAUUUAAACCCUAAUAUUUAAUUUGAUGGAUAAAAUGGUUGACAAGAAAUUAUAUUUUAGUAAUGUGGUAGAUAUUCCUAUGCCUAUGGUAUAUUAAAAAAUAAAUUAAAUCACAGUCAGCCACUGUACUUGGUUUAAUUUCUACAUAUAAUUUCAUACAAUCAACGUCGUUUACAUCAAAUGUAGUUGAGAAGCCAAUGUUGAAUUAGAAUUAUUUUCGUUGAGUGUAAUACCUGGUGUUGAGUGUUGACAUUCUAGAAUUAUUUUUGUUGGAUGUGUGGUCAACCAUUUGCAAAAUAUUUGCCACGCUGCCCUUUUUUUUAACCUGUAAAGUAAAGGUUUUAACUUUAUCCAGUUAUGAUAUAAUAGAGGUAUUAAAAAUUUAGGCCCAUUUAUUAGGCUCGGGCCUGGUCUAAAAAAUGGAUUUAAAAUUUUGUCUAAGCUUGAUUAGGAUGAAAAUGUUAAAAUUCGGGUCCAACUUGGCCCGCCGAUAUUAAUUUUUAUAUUAUUUUUUAUAUAAUUUUAAAAUAUAUAUAAUACAUCAAAAAUACUAAAAACAUCAAAAUAAAUAUUUCCCAACAAAUUAAAAAUAAAUUUAAAAAAAUGUAUACUUAAAUAACACUAAGAUAGAUGUAACUUAACAAGUAAAUAUCUCUAAAAUAAUAACAAAAUUAACAAAUAUCUUUAAUAUAAUAACAAAAUUAACAAUAAAAUAAGUUUUAUAUAAUAUCCAAACAAUAACAACAAAAUAAUAUUAACAUAAUAUUAAAAUGGUAGCAAAAUAGAGAGAAAAUAACAAGAAAAUAAUAUUAAAAAAUCAUAUUUUUUUGUCCUUUAGUAAAUUCUUGAGGCCCGACUCAUUUUUUAAAUGGGCGUUAUUUUUUUUGUCCAAACCCAUUUUUUAAGUCUAUAUUUUUGUCCAAAUCCUUUCACAUUUCGGACGGGCCUUCGGGCCGGGCCAUGCUCACCUCUAUGAUAUAAGGAUUAAAUUUGUAAUUUGAGUUAAGUAGAGGGAUAACCGUUUGACUUAAAAUUAGUUUCUUUUUAAAAUCAAAUAUUAUUUUUAAAAAUAAAUAUAACUUUGCAAUAAUUUUUAAAUAAUUACUCUCAUAUAAAAAACACUCGUGUUCAUUCAACAUUUACUUUUCUGUUUUCUAUUGAAUGAGUCAAAUCAUAAAAGAUAGAAAAUAAUUUAUGAAUAUUUACUUAUGUUUUAAAUGAUUUAAUUAGAGGCAGAGAGUGGAUAAUGGAUUCAAGGAGGAUAUAUGUAUAAUAAUAAUUUUAUAUUUUAAAAAUUAAUAAUACGAUAAAAUUUUAUUGAUAUUUAAAAAUUUUAAUUUUUAAAAUUAUUUUAAUAUAAGUUUGUUGUCAUAACUAUUUUUUAAAUUUUAAAAUUUUUUAUUUAUAGAUAUUAAAUAAAAAUAAAAAAUAAAACCAGAAUGUCAUUUUUUUUUUUUAUAAUUUACAUUAAAUGCAUGAUUAUAGACCUAAAAAGUUAAUCGAUCAGACUUUGAUGAUCCAAGUUGGAAUCCAAUCCUUAUAAAUGAUGAUUGAAUUUGUUGAUUAAUUGAAGUUAGUUAAUUAGUUUGAGUUUUUUUUUUAUAUUUAAAAAAAAAUUAAGAUAUGUUGAUUUAUUUAGUUCUUUUAAUUUUAUAAAAGAUUAUUUUAACCUUCCAAUUAAUUUUUGGUUUGUUUAGUUUUUAAAUUUAUAUUUUUGUCUAAUCAUUCUAAAAUGAAUAAAAAUAUUAAUAUUUUUAAAUUUUGUUGAUAGUAUAUACACGUAGAUAAUACAUCAACAUUUAAUUAUUUCUUACAAUUUAACUACAAAGAUAACUUUUGUAGGUUGUAACGAAUGUAUAAAUUUCAAAUCAAAUAUUUUGAUUACAAUAUAACAUGCAUCAUACGGGAACUUUUUCAACUUGUUCCUUUACUAAUAAUAUAUUCUACCAUUACAAAUAUGGAAUUCUGUCAUUCAUGGGUUUGUCCCUUAUUUACCCAUAUAUAUAGAUAGAAUUUUGUUGUACACAAUAUUUAAACCAAGAGUUGUUUAACAUCUCUGGAAAUUGAUUACCUUUAUGAACAUUGUAAAGAUUGCCCCAAAGAGAAUAGUGAAACUAACAAUCACACAGUAAUUAAUUCCAGAUAAUCGUGCCUGAAAUCAAAAUAAUUUCUGAAGUACUGCUCUAUUGUCUCAUUGUUCCCAUCUUCAAACAUGUCUGUUAUAUCUCUAAACUGUGAAACAACCAAUCCAUACAAGGUCUCAGAAACCGGACAAAUCCAGUAGUACCACCUCCACCAUAUUGCCAUACUCUGUAAUUGGUGCACAUUUGAAUUUAGUUAGUCCUCAGGAUUUGUGUGUAUAUAUGUAUAUGCUAAAGAUACCAAGACCUCAACCCGAGGUUUAAUCCUAUUGGUUUAUGCAGUGGCAUCCAACAGAAUUGGAUGCCAUAUGAGGCGAAGUAAAGUAAGGUGAAGAACAUGAAGAAGAGAUACCAGAAGAACUUAGCAAUGGUCCACUCGAAUCCGAUCAUAGCAUACACUAUAAUGACAUACACAAAAGCUUUAACAAAAAUAUAAGGUAUCUCUAUUAUAAUGGCAUUUGGCAUUGCAGAGUACAUUCCAGCAGCUCUUUCUCUAUAAAAAACUGUCCUUUCGACAGACAUAACCGGUUGCACAAAAGCAGCGUCUUGGAUACCAAUGAAAAGAAUAGCAACGCACAUUGAACCCAUUGCAUUGGACAGGUUUUGUAUUCUUUUCCUAUAAUUUCAUGAUGCAGACAAUUAGUAAAUGUAAAUAAUUUCUCUAACUUUAUCAUUUUCAUUCAUUUCUAUUUAUUUGGUUCUACAUACAAUUUAUUUCUGAUUUCAACGAGUUAACGGAGAAAUCGAUUGGAUAUAUAUAAUUAGAACUCAACUAAUUUAUAAUUAGGUUUCAACUUUUCGCCUAUCAAUUAUUUAAUCAUGAAGUCAUUCCACCAUAGUAUCAUAACUUAACUCUCCCUGAAUACAUACUAUUUAUGAAAGCUAUUUAAUAAAUGUUCGUCCAAUAAUAUUGUCAUAAGUGUGUUAUUUUUAUAAGAUACAUAAUUUUGGUAGUUUUUUACCUCGAACCUUGAACUAUGAACUUCAAACCCUUGAUUUCAAAUCUUGAACUCUAAAUUUCCCGAACUCAAACCCUGAACUUUAUAGGGUUUGGCAUUUGAGUUUGAGGUUUAGGGUUUAAAGUUUAAGAUUCAAAUUUAAGAUUUAGGAUUUGAGAUUCAAGUAAAGAAUUUACCCAAAUUAUGUGAUAAUAACAUAAAAAAAUUUACUAAAAUGUCAUUAAAUAAUUAGAAAAAGACAAUGGAUAAUUUUGUGGGAAAGAGUUAUAAAAUAUUUGUGAUAAUAAUAUAAUUAGUAAACCUAAAGAAACCAAUCAAUUUAGAAAAAAAAGAAAAAGAAAAGUAAAUAUGAUAUUAAUACAUAUAUGUAUAUAGAUAUAUAGAUAUUGAUACAUAUAGAUAUAACAGCAUAUAUUAAUUUUUUGAAUAAUACUAAAAAUAUUUUAUUUUUUGAGUUGCCUUUUCCUUUGAAAACAUAAACUUACUAAUUUAAUUUUUUAUAUACAUUUCCGUGUACAUAAAUUCUUAAAAUAUAAGGGUUUUUUUUAAAGUUACAAAUAUUGAAAUAAAAUUACUAAAUUAUUACAAUAAGAAAGUUGUAAAAAUUUAAUUAAGCAUAAAUAAAUUCAUUUGGAAAAAAUAAUAAUUUAAACACAAACAAUUAAAAUGGAAUAAUAAAAUUUAAAAUAAGUAAUUAAAAACUUUCAAUUAUCUAUCCCUAUCUCUAACCUUUUAAUGCCUAAAUGGCCAUUACUAAUUUCUAAUAGAAAAACAUGAAUGCACCACUAAUACUCUUCAUUCAACAUUCAAAAAAAAAAAUCAACAUUAAUUCAACAUUUAAUGCCUAAACCCCUCAUGACAUUCAUUCAACAUUUAAUUUCUAAUAAUUUUUAAUGCCUAAAAAAUUAAGAAAAUUAGCAUUAUUGAAUUUGAUAAUUAGGUGUUCGCGGUCUCAAGUUUGUAAAUGUUUAUAAUUAUAUUUUGUUAACUUAUAAACUAUGGUUUUAAAAUUAAAAAAUUAAUUUAUGUUUAGAAAAUAGUAGUAAACAAUUUUCUUAUGAACACUAAACAACGAAAAGUAUUUUCAUUUCUAUUUAAGCUCUGAAUUUUUGAAGAAGACAAAAAAAAAAGGAAAAAUUGAUAUAUGUAAACCAAUUUUUUUAUUUCAAAACAAAGUGUGAAUGUAUUGAUAUAUUAAUUUUGUUAAGAAUUAUUUUUUGAAAGAUUUAUAUAAAUUUUUAUUAACAAUAGUAAAAUUGCUUCAUAUGAAAAAAAAAUAAAGUUUUUACUUAUUCUAGAAUUAUUUUUCAGAAUUCAAUCUCUUCAAAGCAAAUUCGGUGAGAGUUCAUGUACUGUUUUUUUAGAACUUGAACCUUGUAAAGCUAAAAAAGAAAUAAAAAUAAAAUAAAACCAUAUAUGAAAAUAGAUGAAUAUUUGUAAUAUUAGCUAACAUGAAAAUUUAAAAAAACCUAACAAGUGCAGAAAAAUAAACUUUUUUUUUCUCAUGAAAAUUAAUGUGUGUCUUCAUUCAACAUUUAUUUUUCUCAAUAAAAAAAGAUAACAAUGUUUUCCUUAAACUUUGAAAUAUAAACCAUUAAAACGAAUCAUAAAUUUUCGUUAAUUUAGAGCUUAAUCAUUGGAGUCUUGAAUUAUUUUAAGUAAUUUUUUUUUUUUGAAAGAAAAUAAAAUUCAUUAAAAAAGAAGCUAAUACAACAGAGAGUAAAAUCAGAGCAUAAAAAUUUCAAGGAAGCAGGCUUGAGGGUUUGGGCCGAAUCUUCAAAACUGACUUCAAAGAAUUUGGGCCGAAUUUGUUUCAUCUUCAACCGGUAGAGAAGCAAUCAAACCAUAAACUUUUUAUAUCUAAAAAGGUGUACAUUGGUUCAUAGUUGCAUACAAGAAAAAACCUUUUAUUACAAUGACAGAAUUUGGACCUUGUAAUAAAUGCAUAAAAUUCAAAUAGCAUUGAUUUUAUAAGAAUAAAACAAAAAAAUUCUAUCGUCUCUGGAAAUUUAACAUCUUUAUGGCCACAGCAAAGAUUGUUCCAAAGAGAACUGCGAAACUAAUAAUCACAGCAGCAACAAAUCCCAGGUAAUCAUGCCUGAAACCAUAAUAAUUUCUCAAGUGCUGCUUCACUGUCUCAUUGUUUCCAUCUUCAAGCAAUUCGUUUAUAUCUCCAAAUUGUGAAACAAGCAAUCCAUACAAGGUCCAAGAUACUGGACAAAUCCAAUAGUACCAUCUCCACCAUACUGGCAUACUCUGUAAUUGGUUUGAAACGAGUGAGAAUAAAGCUUGUACUCAGUAUUUGUGUAUAGGUAUAUGCUAAAGAGACCAGCAACCUAAACCCCAGGUUUAAUUCUGUUGGCUUAUAGGCUUUGGUCUUCUUUGUAUUGAAAAAAAAAAAAAAAAAGAUAUCAAAUUAUUUAAAAGAGCACAUACAGGUCGUGGGAUGAUGAAACCUGAGAAGAGAUUCCAUAAUCCGUAGAAUGCUGAGGAUACUAUGGCUGCAAUGUGGUUGUUUGGUGUGACAGCAACAGCCAUCAUGCCAUAGAAGGUGAAGUAAAGUAAGGUGAAAAGCAUGAAGAAGAUAUACCAGAAGAACUUAGCAGCGGUCCAUUCGAAUCCGAUCAUGGAAUACACUAUAAUGCCAUACACAGAAGCUUGAACAAAAAUAUAAGGUAUCUCUAUUAAGACCUGCAGUGGCCAAAUGUGGAGGCAAUUAUAAUGCACGUAAAACUUUCUUCACGAUUUCAACUACUCUUCGAAAUGAGAAAAUUACUUACCUGUCCAAUGGCAUAUGGCAUCGCAGAAUACAUUCCGGCAGCUCUUUCUCUAUAAAAGACUGUCCUUUCUACCGACACAACAGGCUGCACAGAUGAAGAGUUUUGGAUACCGAUGAACAGAACAGCAGCGUACAUUGAACCCAUUGCAUUGGACAGAUCUUGUAUUUUUUUCC
rnacentral:lncRNA from 1 species